rnacentral:sRNA from 1 species
UGAACUGUUAGGUGAGACUCCUACGUGAACAUAUGCUGAUGCUCAGCAACAUCCAGAGAUGCCAACGAGUUAAACAAGAAUUGUCGAGACAAGGCUUUUCUCAAUCAGCUAUUCAAAUGGAAUUUACGUCACGUAGUGUUAAAACUGAACGACGAG